UUUCCGUUGGUGAACCAGCGGAAGGAUCAUUACAGAGAUCGUGCCCUUCGGGGUAGACCUCCCACUCUGUGUUAUUUACGUAUGUUGCUUUGGCGGGCCGCCUCCGGGCUCUCGGCUUCGGCCGAGGUGUGCCCGCCAGAGAACCCACAACCCUGUGUUUAGUGUCGUCUGAGUAUUAUCAAAUAAGUUAAAACUUUCAACAACGGAUCUCUUGGUUCUG
rnacentral:misc_RNA from 1 species